rfam:Homo sapiens chromosome 14, GRCh38 reference primary assembly.
UAACAGGAUUUUCUAAAAACCACCCUUAAAAUAUAAAGAGAUAUA